rnacentral:lncRNA from 1 species
CCCGACCCGAGCACGUCAAACAGACGCCGAACGGACAGAAUUUUUCCUAUCCGCCCAAGGCUCAUCACAUGUACAUUUUCAUCAAUAGAAAAAAGCACUAGCGGAAACAUGCACAAACGGCUUACACAAGGGUAAGCAAUAGCCACGAGUGAGAGAAAAAGGAAACUAAACAUUCACUUGUACUAUGAUUCAUUUUUGAUUAUAUACACUGCAUUCAUCUUGUACAUUUUCAAAUUUCUUACAUUUUAUUUCAUCAUUUCUUUCUUACAUCACAUUUACCUCAAAAUACACAUUACAUUCUUUCCUUUACAUUAUUUCUCAUCAAGUACAAAGAUGAUCAUAGGGUACUUUACU